UUUACUUAUUCUGUGGGGAGGAGAUGGGGCAUAGCCCCUAUUUUUGGCCAUAAGACACAUUUUGGCAGGUCAAUAUGGGUGGAAGACAUUGUCAGGUGGGGAGUUUGGCUAGGGUGACACAUUUAUUAAAAGAUAACACAAGUGUCCUAAGAUGAGCUCAACAAGAACUGAAAUCUCGUGUGGAACAAAGGGUAAAAUAUCAGUUGAUUUUCCACCAACCUAUUGAUCCUUGCAAUACAUUGAUGGAUAUGAAUUAAUACAUCAAUUAGAUUUUUUCAUGCAUCAACAUAGUUA
rnacentral:ncRNA from 1 species